UUGAGGGGAACUGAUGUGAAUCUUAAAAACUGCUCAGACUGUACCUUAGAAGAUUUGGUUAAGGUUACACUGACAAAUAUCUCUCUCAAACUGGGAUUCAGACAGGGAGGCUGUGUGUCAAAGAGUCUCUCUGAAGAAAGCAUCUUUGAAGCUGCCUGACCUGGAUUAUCCUCAAGAAAAGCUCAAUCUUUGACAACUAGCUCUACCUUAACCCCCAACCCCAAGCUUCCUGGAAGAUGAUCCAUCCUUCCUUAUAUCUAGCGAAAUGGUGACCUCUUUGUGCUCAUCUGUGAAAACCUAGUCAUGAGCUUAUAUGGAUACUUCCUAGAGUAAACCUUUCAUGGGGAAUAAAGACCAAGGGGAACAUGACUUUUUUGUAUUAGUCUCUGAGAUCUGACUCAAGUCUGUGUGACUCCAGAGCUUGGAGUGGCAAAGAAUGGGAAACUACAGGGAUGUCCCUCAACUGGGGAAUGGCUGAUCAAAUUGUUGCAUACGAUGGCGAUGGAAUACUAUUGUGUUGCAAGGAAUGAUAAAUGGGAUGAUUUCAGAAAAAGCUGGCAAGACCUCUAGGAACUGAUGCACAGCAAAAUAAGCAGAACCAGAAGGACACUGUACACAGUAACUGCAAUAUUGUGGAAUGAUCAAAUGUGACAACCUUUGCUACUCACAGCAAUACAAUGAUCCAGAACAAUUUGGAAGGACUUAUGAAAAGGAGUGCUAUUCAGCUCCAGAGAAAGAACUGUUGGAGUAGAAAUGCAGAUGAAAACAUAUAAUUAUUACUUGUUUUUUUGGGUAUGUUUGGAAUUUUGGUUCUAUAAAAUUAUUCACUUACAAAAAUGAAUGAUAUGGAAAUCUGUUUUGUGUGAUAAUACUUGUAUAACCCCCCAAAAAAUUAAAAUAAAAAAUUUGUUGGUCUAUGGUGCUAAGUAUAUUUAAAAGCUUUUCUGUACCCCUAUUCCCAUGCUAGUGUGCUCAUUACCAAACUACCUUGUAUUUAACUUCUUUGAUUGUUCGCUUUAUAUUUAUACUAUCUAUAUACAUACAUAUUAUGUUAUAUACUCACACAUGUACUUGUUGCCUCCUCCAUUCAAAUAAA